CCUANGGGUGGCUGCAGUCGAGAAUCUUUCGCAAUGGGGGAAACCCUGACGAAGCGACACCGCGUGUAGGACGAAGGCUUUCGGGUUGUAAACUACUGUCGGCCAUGACGAGAUGUAUGUUGACUAAUAUUCAACAUACUUGACGGUAGUGGCAAAGGAAGCAACGGCUAACUCUGUGCCAGCAGCCGCGGUAAUACAGAGGUUGCAAGCGUUGUUCGGAUUCAUUGGGUGUAAAGGGUGUGUAGGUGGUUUUGUAAGUCAGAUGUGAAAUCUCCGAGCUCAACUCGGAAAUGGCAUUGGAAACUGCUCUGCUUGAGGGUUGGAGGGGGGACUGGAAUACUUGGUGUAGCAGUGAAAUGCGUAGAUAUCAAGUGGAACACCAGUGGCGAAGGCGAGUCCCUGGACAACUCCUGACACUGAGGCACGAAAGCUAGGGGAGCAAACAGGAUUAGAUACCCGGNUANUC
rnacentral:rRNA from 1 species